CCUACGUGAGGCAGCAGUGAGGAAUAUUGGUCAAUGGGCGGGAGCCUGAACCAGCCAAGCCGCGUGAGGGAAGCAGGUACAGCGUAUCGUACACCUCUUUUGUCAGGGAACAAAGGCGGGGACUAGUCCCCGGAUGAGGGUACCUGACGAAAAAGCAUCGGCUAACUACGUGCAAGCAGCCGCGGUACUACGGAGGCUGCGAGCGUUGUCCGGAUUUAUUGGGUUUAAAGGGUGCGCAGGCGGCCUGUUAAUUCAGCGGUAAAAGCCCGGGGCUCAACCCCGGCGAGCCGUUGACACUGGCUGGCUGGAGUUGGAGAGAAGUACGCGGAAUGCGCGGUGUAGCGGUGAAAUGCUUAGAUAUCGCGCAGAACCCCGAUUGCGAAGGCAGCGUACCGGCUCCACACUGACGCUGAGGCACGAAAGCGUGGGUAUCGAACAGGAUUAGAUACCCCUGUAGUC
rnacentral:rRNA from 1 species